AGAGAGGCUGAGCUUCAGCCAACAUCAGAUUGUUGAGUGACACAGUCAGUAAAACGCCGGCUCACUAAAGUAAACCUGUCUUUGGUCUUCAUCUGUGAGAAGUUAACUAAUCAUCACGUCUCGUUUUGCCAGGAAACCUGUGAGGAGAGUGCAGAGAGAGCUGAGCACUAUUUGUAAACACAGCAUCAGGAAUUGUUUAUCACACCACGGAUCAAGACAAGAAUUCACUGCACGGAGUGUCACGAAGGCAACCGCUUUAUUGGGAACUGUUUUUGCACAUCAUUGUUCACUGUCAAUAAAAUCAGUGUCGCCUAUCAGGAAGUCCUGCAUUUGGGUCCUGGUUUGGUUGAUUCCUGUCACGGCUAAAGUAUUUCUGGACCCAAAUUGCAGAUUUAGACAGUGUGUACUACAGUUAAGUGCUUUAUGUGCUAUGACACAAGAAAGGCAAAAUGGGGAGGCAGAAUCAGAGGCAAGAUCUGCUCACCAAUCUGUCUGGAGAGAAAAAAUAGAGAAAACAGCCCAUCCUGUCCAGACUCUGAUAAUUUCCUUGAUUCCAUACUUAACAUGAAUGUUACAUUAGUUUUAGAAUAUUUUGUAGUAAUUCCAUUCUAAAAAUUAUAAAAGGAACAAACAACCUGACCUUAAAGAAAAGACUGGGUGGUUAAAGUGAGCAAAUAAGCACAGGGCUCUACAAAGGUUUAAGGAUUGCACAUCAACAUGAUGUAACCUGUAUCAAAAACCUGCAGCAGUAAUUUUGUUUAGUGAUCCACACGUUUGUGUUGUAAUUUUGUGGACCAUCAUGAGUCAGUCCACUUGUGCUAGGCUUUCUCUGUUUUACAGGAUAAUUUUCAAAACAAGGCAGCAAUAUCACUGUUUUUAGGCCUCAGUAACACAGGUCCAGAGACUGGUUGGUGUCCCCCUGGCAGCCACAGCUCACUACAAAAAAAGUGCAUUCCCUAUGCACAUUUCCUAGUAGUAGUGAAACUGUAAAAAGCACAACACAAACUAGAACCUCGAACCAUUGCAUUCAAAGAAACAUUUGAGCCUUUUGAAACAUGUUGGUCGUUUUAGGUUAUUUUUUUAAAAAAAAGCUCUCUGAUCAAAAACAAAAACGGUAACAAGUGGAUUUUUAUGAAGUAUUAGCACUAAUUGUCUACAAAGUGAUGUAUAGAAAAUGAAACUUGUUUCGUCUUGAUUCAUUGUGAUUGGUCCCAAAAUGCUCCUGCAUCAUUAUUUGUGUGUGGGCGAUGGUCUUAUGUUUACUUGUCUCUACGAGAACGAACCCUCCAAAGAAACCAUUUUUCUCAUUUAGUUUCAAUGCCAAUGAAUUUGCUGCUGUUCUAAACUCAGUCAUCUGUAAAUGGAAACAUUAAGUGACGCCCCCCUCCCCCUCCCACGACAACAGUUUCUGAUAAUGGAGAAAAGUGAUCUGAAGACAGAAGAUGAACUAGAAAGCAAAGAACACAGUUAAUGAGCGGACAGAGAAAGGGAGUCAGCAAUGCCUGAAGACUUAGAAGACAAUUACACUUGAUCAAUAGCAUGGUAUAAACCCAAACAGUCCUGCCACUUUAGAUUGGACAUAGCCAUCAAAUCUGUGCUUGCAAUGAAAGGAGCUGCAGACUUGUUUGCACCUGAUGAUUGAAUGACCCCUGUCUGUGUCUCCCUGUGUGUCUGAAGGAAACCACUGAAUACCAGUUAGUGAGCCAGUGGAAGAGGAGAUAUGUAGAUGUGUGAAAGGUGGAAAUAGAUGGAGCUCCAGACAGCAGGGUGGGAAUGAAAAGUCAAUGUGACACACUAUUAAGCCCAGAAAAAGGAUUCGGAGGGAGAUUAGCUAUGAUUGUGUCUCUGUUGGUGGGAAGACCAUUUAUAUUUUUUAAAUAAUUUGUGUAACUGUAUUCCAGACUAUAGACCCUUAUGUACUGAAUAUAUAUCAGAUAUAACAAAUGUACUUUCAGUCAUUUUUUCUGAGACUUACAUGGAUGAGUAACUCUUAUUUCUAAAUCUAUGUAAGUCUAUCAGUGAAUAUUAGAAAGAGAAAAAACAAGCAGAAGAACAUAAAAUCAUAAAGAGACUGAUGUGAGGGCUCAAAUUAAAAAAAAAAAAAUGUUUGAACAUUGGCUUGCUUGCUUCUAUUCUUCUAGAAAGAAAACUGAACAAAAGAAGCCAUUGACGCAUACUAAUGUUUAAUGACAACAGAAAAAAAACACUAAAUACCUAUUCACCCCCCCCCCCCAAAACCAACCAAA